rnacentral:rRNA from 1 species
CAAGUCGAACGCGAAAGGGGCUUCGGCCCUGAGUAGAGUGGCGAACGGGUGAGUAACACGUGGGUGAUCUACCUCUGAGUGGGGGAUAACGUUCCGAAAGGAACGCUAAUACCGCAUGACGUUCCGGGUUUGAAGACCGGGAAACCAAAGUCGGGGACCGCAAGGCCUGACGCUUGGAGAGGAGCCCGCGCCUGAUUAGCUAGUUGGUGAGGUAACGGCUCACCAAGGCAACGAUCAGUAGCCGGCCUGAGAGGGCGGACGGCCACACUGGGACUGAGACACGGCCCAGACUCCUACGGGAGGCAGCAGUGGGGAAUUGUUCGCAAUGGGCGCAAGCCUGAUGACGCAACGCCGCGUGGAGGAUGAAGGUCUUCGGAUUGUAAACUCCUGUUGAUCGGGACGAAUGAGCGACGACCUAACACGUCGGAGCAGUGACGGUACCGAUUGAGGAAGCCACGGCUAACUCUGUGCCAGCAGCCGCGGUAAUACAGAGGUGGCAAGCGUUGUUCGGAAUUACUGGGCGUAAAGGGCGCGUAGGCGGCGUUCUAAGUCAGACGUGAAAUCCCCAGGCUUAACUUGGGAACUGCGUCUGAUACUGGGAGGCUUGAGUGCGGGAGAGGGAUGUGGAAUUCCAGGUGUAGCGGUGAAAUGCGUAGAUUUCUGGAGGAACACCGGUGGCGAAGGCGGCAUCCUGGAACCGACACUGACGCUGAGGCGCGAAAGCUAGGGGAGCAAACGGGAUUAGAUACCCCGGUAGUCCUAGCCCUAAACGAUAAGUGCUUGGUGUGGCGGGUAUCGAUUCCUGCCGUGCCGAAAGCUAACGCAUAAGCACUCCGCCCGGGGGAGUACGGUCGCAGGGCUGAAACUCAAAGGAAUUGACGGGGGCCC